rnacentral:lncRNA from 1 species
GCCGUCCUGGAAGUCUCUUCGGCGCCUUUAGUUAUCCCGGUGCCCUGUGUCAACUCAAAACGUUGACCUUUCAUGGUUGUUUUGAUUUGGGGGAAGAACAAGAAGUCACCCGGUGCCAGAUCUGCUGCGAAAGGUGGACGAGGACACUGAUGUUUGCGUGAGCCUGCAUUCCUGCUGGGCGGCCCUCGGCGGCAGCAUUCGCUGUAUACUUUUUAAACCCACCUCAUGAAAUCACUCACGAAAGCGGACUCCAGAACUGCUUCAGAAAGUGGAGACAAUGGUGGGCGUGUCAUCUGAUUGGCCGUCUUAAGUGAAGUCUUUGUGGGAACCUUUUGUCUCCCAGGCCCAGUGACCUCCCAGCACACAGAAGGGGGACGGCAGAGGGUCAUCUCUGACAGGGAAGCCCGAGUCAGGCAUGAGGGGUUCUGGGGAAGACACUGACAUCUACCUCCAGUCGAAACAAGAUGAGCUUUCCUCCGUUGAAGCCCUCCGCUGCUGUAAGCCUGGAGCGUGCUGUCUCCGUUGUGUCCACCAGAGGGCACUGUGCCCAUGUUUCUGUGGAGAGAGGAACCGCCCAAACCCACACUUGCUGUCACAGGAGCAGAGCACAGGCUGUGAAUCUGAGUGCUCAUCAACCCAGGGUUGGCUCGUUCAGGCCAGGAGCACAUUGUCACAAAGACUUCAAAGCAGCUCCACCGUUGACGUCUCAGAAGGGGCUUCUUACAGCACAGUUUCACUUGGAUGAUUUUUUUAAACUUCCAAAAAGUGGGAACUGACUCGUUCAUGAUGUUGCAGCAGAAAAUAAUUACGAGAAUGGGUUGGGGACAAAAUGUGCACGUUAAGGGUAAAAUGCCCAUUGCUAUUCUAACUGAACAUC